CACGAAGGGUGCAAGCGUUGUUCGGAAUCACUGGGCGUAAAGGGCGCGUAGGCGGUCUGCUAAGCGUGCGGUGAAAGCCCAGGGCUUAACCUUGGAACUGCAUUUAGAACUGUAUGGCUAGAGUAUGGAAGAGGAGUGUGGAAUUUCAGGUGUAGCGGUGAAAUGCGUAGAGAUCUGAAGGAACAUCAGUGGCGAAGGCGACACUCUGGUCCAAUACUGACGCUGAGGUGCGAAAGCGUGGGGAUCAAACAGG
rnacentral:rRNA from 1 species